AAGCGACAGCAGUUGUCAGCAACGGUAAUACUUCGAAACGAAGCAGCACCGAUAAAAAUGGAAGCGAAAGAAUAGCAACAGAGUUAACUCAAUUGUCGUUAAAUGAAACAAAUGAUAAUCAUGCCAGUUUGCCAAAUCAAAGCGACAGCCCAAAACCUAUUUGCACUACACGUAGGAAACCGCCUCGUAUUCCGAAGAUUGGCGCCAAAUUUGACUACGCAUAAAACACUAAAAUAAAGUGAC